rnacentral:rRNA from 1 species
GACGUAGGGCGCAAGCGUUGUCCGGAUUUAUUGGGCGUAAAGAGCUCGUAGGCGGCUUGUUGCGUCGACCGUGAAAACCCGUGGCUCAACUGCGGGCUUGCGGUCGAUACGGGCGGGCUAGAGUUCGGUAGGGGAGACUGGAAUUCCUGGUGUAGCGGUGAAAUGCGCAGAUAUCAGGAAGAACACCAACGGCGAAGGCAGCUCGCUGGGACGGUACUGACGCUGAGACGCGAAAGCGUGGGGAGCAAACAGG